AGAGUUUGAUCCUGGCUCAGGAUGAACGCUAGCGGCAGGCUUAAUACAUGCAAGUCGAGGGGCAGCGCGGGUAGCAAUACCUGGCGGCGACCGGCAAACGGGUGCGGAACACGUACGCAACCUUCCCAAAACUGGUGAAUAGCCCUCCGAAAGGAGGAUUAAUACACCGUAACAUAGUGAAUCGGCAUCGUUUUACUAUU
rnacentral:rRNA from 1 species